GUCCAGACUCCUACGGGAGGCAGCAGUGGGGAAUAUUGCACAAUGGGGGAAACCCUGAUGCAGCGACGCCGCGUGAGCGAUGAAGUAUUUCGGUAUGUAAAGCUCUAUCAGCAGGGAAGAAGAUGACGGUACCUGACUAAGAAGCCCCGGCUAACUACGUGCCAGCAGCCGCGGUAAUACGUAGGGGGCAAGCGUUAUCCGGAUUUACUGGGUGUAAAGGGAGCGUAGACGGCGAUGCAAGCCAGAUGUGAAAGCCCGGGGCUCAACCCCGGGACUGCAUUUGGAACUGUGUGGCUGGAGUGUCGGAGAGGCAGGCGGAAUUCCUAGUGUAGCGGUGAAAUGCGUAGAUAUCAGGAGGAACACCGGUGGCGAAGGCGGCCUGCUGGACUGCAACUGACGUUGAGGCCCGAAAGCGUGGGGAGCAAACAGGAUUAGAUACCCUUGUA
rnacentral:rRNA from 1 species